rnacentral:rRNA from 1 species
UACGGAGGGUGCAAGCGUUGUCCGGAUUCAUUGGGUUUAAAGGGUGCGCAGGCGGGACAUUAAGUCAGGGGUGAAAGACGGUUGCUCAACAAUCGCAGUGCCUUUGAUACUGGUGUUCUUGGGUGACCUUGAGGUAGGCGGAAUGGGUGGUGUAGCGGUGAAAUGCAUAGAUACCACCCAGAACUCCGAUUGCGAAGGCAGCCUACUGGAGGUUUACCGACGCUCAGGCACGAAAAGCCGUGGGGGAUCAAACAGG